rnacentral:ribozyme from 2 species
AAAGGAACUCCGCCAGUAGAUUUACUGCCGGUCCCAAGCCCGGGUAAAGAAGGAGGGUUGU